UCAAACUUUUCUUUCUUACAGUUCAGUCUCAUUGAAAAGAAAGAUGUCUACAUCAUUGAGAAGAAAAAGAAGCCCAAUGUGGAUUCAGCACAAUUAACACGGAGUACUUGUCAAGGCACAGACACUGCAGGAAUAAAUUGUAGGCUGCAUUUCUGGUCUUAGGACUCAGUCAAAUGGGACAUACAAGCCAUGCAAGCCAACAGCAUAAUUGAAGACAAGGUGUUGGAAAAACAAUAUGAACAAGUUUUUAUAGGAUCAAAGGAAAGAAAGAAUUCGACUGGAUCUGAGGAGUACAAGAAUAUUCCAGAAUUGGGGAAUAAAUAGGAGAGAUCAACAGAAAGGCCAUUUGAAUCAGAACCAGCAGGCAGGAAGUAUGAAACCAUCUAGCAGCCUGUUCUACAACGGAAACAAUGUUAGAUAAAAAGCAAAUUCUAGCGACUUUCUUAUUUGAGUUCAAAAUGGGUCGUAAAGUAAGCAGCAAAGACAAUUCACAUCAUUAACAAAGCAUUUGGCCCAGGAACUGCUAACGAACGUACAGUGCAGUGGUGGUUCAAGAAGUUUUGCAAAGGAGACGAGAGCCUUGAAGAUGAGGAGCGUAGUGGCCGGCCAUCAGAAGUUGACAGUGACCAAUUGAGAGCAAUCAUCAAAGCUGAUGCUCUUACAACUGCAUGAAAAGUUGCUGAAGGAGUCAAUGUCGACCAUUCUACGGUUGUUCAGCAUUUGAAGCAAAUCAGAAAGGUGAAAAAGCUCGAUAAGUGGGUGUCUGAUAAGCUGACCAAAAAUGAAAAAAAUUGUCGUUUUGAAGUGUCCUCUUCUCUUAUUCUACACAACAAUAACGAACCAUUUCUCAGUUGGAUUCUGAUGUGCAAGGAAAAGUAGAUGUUAUAUGAUAAAUGGCAAUGACCAGCUCAGUGGUUGGGCCGAGAAGACACUCCAAGGCACUUCCCAAAGCCAAACUUGCACCAAUAAAGGUCAUGGUCACUGUUUGAUGGUCUGCUGCCGGUCUGAUUCACUACAGCUUUCUGAAUCCCAGUAAAACCAUUACUUCUGAGAAGUACGCUCAGCGCAUCAAUGAGAUGCACCAAAAACUGCAACACCUGCAGUUGGCAUUAGUCAACAGAAAGGGCCCAAUUCUCUACAACAGCCAACUGCACGUCACACCACCAAUACUUCAAAAGUUGAACAAAUUGAGGUGGGAAGUUUUUGCUUUAUCCACCAUAUUCACCUGACCCCUUGCCAACCAACUACCACUUCUUCAAGCAUCUCAACAACUUUUUGCAGGGAAAAUGCUUCCACAACCAGCAGGAUGCAGAAAAUGCUUUCCAAGGGUUCGUCGGAUCCCAAAGCAUGGAUUUUUAUGCUACAGGAAUAAACAAACUUAUUUCUCCUUGGCAAAACUGUGUUGAUUGUAGUGGUUCCUAUUUUGAUUAAUAAAGAUGUAUUUGAGCCUACUUAUAAUGAAUUAAAAUUCACAGUUCAAAACUGCAAUUACUUUUACACCAACCUAAUAGUUUAUACCUAGCUUUGCUGAGCCUCAAGUUCCUUAUUUGAUAAAUGGGGAUGAGAAUGCUUACCUCACUGAAUUGUAAUCAGGAUUAAAAGAGACAGUAUGAAAGCAAUUUGAGAAGCAUGAGUAAUUAUGAAAAUGGCUAACAGCUCUUGAGUUCUUAUUAUGUGUCAGGCACUGGAGUCAUCACUUCACACAGAUGAUCUCUUUUAAUCCUCAGAACAACCCAGAGGAAAAGACAAUAUCCAGGUUUCAACGUCAAAG
rnacentral:lncRNA from 1 species